UCGCGUUGCAUUUUACAGCGGGUUGU
rnacentral:sRNA from 1 species